UACGUAGGCAGCGAGCGUUGUUCGGAGUUACUGGGCGUAAAGGGUGUGUAGGCGGUUCUUUAAGUUUGGUGUGAAAUCUCCCGGCUCAACCGGGAGGGUGCGCCGAAUACUGAGGGACUAGAGUACGGGAGAGGAAAGUGGAAUUCCUGGUGUAGCGGUGAAAUGCGUAGAUAUCAGGAGGAACACCGGUGGCGAAGGCGGGUCUCCGGCUGGACGAUGACUCGUGAGGAGCGAAAGCAUGGGGAGCGAACAGG
rnacentral:rRNA from 1 species